rnacentral:tRNA from 1 species
GGAGUUGUGGCUCAGUGGUAGAGUGCUUGCCUAGCAUGCGUGAGGCACUGAGUUUGAUUCUCAGCACCA